GACGAACGCUGGCGGCGUGCUUAACACAUGCAAGUCGAGCGGAAAGGCCCUUCGGGGUACUCGAGCGGCGAACGGGUGAGUAACACGUGAGUAACCUGCCCCAGACUUUGGGAUAACCCUCGGAAACGGGGGCUAAUACCGGAUACGACACAGCUUCGCAUGGGGUCUGUGUGGAAAGUUUUUCGGUUUGGGAUGGGCUCGCGGCCUAUCAGCUUGUUGGUGGGGUGAUGGCCUACCAAGGCGACGACGGGUAGCCGGCCUGAGAGGGCGACCGGCCACACUGGGACUGAGAGACGGAGCAGAGUGCUACGGGAGGCAGCAGGGGGGAAUAUUGCACAAUGAGCGGAAGCCUGAUGCAGCGACGCCGGGUGAGGGAUGACGGUCUUCGGGUUGUAAACCGCUGUCGGCAGGGACGAAGCGUAAGUGACGGUACCUGCAGAAGAAGCGCCGGCCAACUACGUG
rnacentral:rRNA from 1 species